rnacentral:rRNA from 1 species
CCUGGUUGAUCCUGCCAGUAGUCAUAUGCUUGUCUCAAAGAUUAAGCCAUGCAUGUGUAAGUACAGGCCGACUUAAGGCGAAACCGCGGACGGCUCAUUAAAUCAGAUAUAACUCAUUGGAUCUCUGCUGAACCGCAUUACUUGGAUAACUGUGGUAAUUCUAGAGCUAAUACAUGCCUUUGUAGUCUCCGACCGCGAGGGAGGAGCGCUUUUAUUAGACCAAAACCCUCGGCAGCCGGUUCCCGCAAGGGGCCGGCCGCACACAUCUUGGUGAAUCAGAAUAACUUUUGCCGAGCGCACGACCCCUCCCGUAACCCGGGUUGGGUCGGCGCCGCGUCCUGCAGGCGUCUGCCUUAUCAGCUCUCGAUUGUAGGUUAAACGCCUACAAUGGCUAUCACGGGUAACGGGGAAUCAGGGUUCGAUUCCGGAGAGGGAGCCUGAGAAACGGCUACCACAUCUAAGGAAGGCAGCAGGCGCGCAAAUUACCCACUCCCGGCACGGGGAGUAGUGACGAAAAAUACUGUUGCGAGCCCCGAACGGGGCCUCGCAAUUGGAAUGAGUACACUUUAAAUCCUUGUACGAGGAUCGAGUGGAGGGCAAGUCUGGUGCCAGCCGCCGCGGUAAUUCCAGCUCCACUAGCGUAUAUUAAAGUUGUUGCGGUUGAAACGCUCGUAGUUUGACUUCUGCUCCGGACCGGCGGUCCGCCUUAGCGGCGGUUACUGCCGGGUUCCGAGCUGUGUCCCCGCCGGCGCACAUGGGGUUUUUAUGCCCUUAACCGGGUGUCCCCUUGUGGCCGGCACGUUUACUUUGAAAAAAUUAGAGUGCUCAGAGCAGGCUGGUUUUUGCUUACAGCCCGAAUGGUCGUGCAUGGAAUGAUGGAACAGGACCUCGGUUCUAUUUUGUCGGUUUUUCGGAACCCGAGGUAAUGAUUAAUAGAAGCAGACGGGGGCAUUCGUACUGCGACGCUAGAGGUGAAACUCUUAGACCGUCGCAUGACGACCUACUGCGAAAGCAUCUGCCAAGGAUGUUUUCAUUGAUCAAGAACGAAAGUUAGAGGUUCGAAGGCGAUCAGAUACCGCCCUAGUUCUAACCUUAAACGAUGCUGACUAGCGAUCCGCCGCAGUUAUUCCCAUGACCCGGCGGGUAGCUUCCUGGAAACCAAAGUCUUUGAGUUCCGGGGGAAGUAUGGUUGCAAAGCUGAAACUUAAAGGAAUUGACGGAAGGGCACCACCAGGAGUGGAGCCUGCGGCUCAAUUUGACUCAACACGGGGAAACUCACCAGGCCAGGACACCGGAAGGAUUGACAGGUCUGUUGGAUGCCCUUAGAUGUUCUGGGCCGCACGCGCGCUACAAUGGAGAGUUUCAGCGAGCUGGCCCUGCUCCGAGAGGAGCGGGUAACCUCGUGAAAGCUGUCCUUAAAGGGGAUUGGGCUUGCAAAUGUUCCCCAUGAACGAGGAAUUCCCAGUAGGCGCAAUUCACCAGAUUGCGCCGAUUUAGUCCCUGCCCUUUGUACACACCGCCCGUCGCUACUACCGAUUGAAUGGUCUAGUGAGGGCACCGGACUGGCGCCCUUGGAGCCGCUACCGCCUCGGCGGGCAGCGCCCUCGGGUCGACGGAAAGGUGUCCAAGCUGGGUCAUUUAGAGGAAGUAAAAGUCGUAACAAGGUUUCCGUAGGUGAACCUGCGGAAG